GGGAGGAGGGGGAUGAUGAUGAGGAGGAGGAUGAUGAUGAGAAGGAGGAGGAUAAUGAGGAUGAGGAGGGCAUCCCCGCGCAUGGCGGCCAGGGCUGGCACCGCGGCCCCCCGCGUUGUGCCACAGCCACAGCGGCCGUCGGGUGACCUGGGUGCCCCGGGGCCCCGGGCGUGAGGGCAGCGGGUGGCGGCGGCCGCCUCCCCGGCAGGGGCUGCCGCUGCCCCCCGGUCCUCGAUACUUUUCGCGGGGCUGCGGUGCGCGGCCCUGGCGCAGGGCGGGCCCGUGGGCUGUCGCGACUGAGGGGUGAGUCGCGAUUGGCGUCCGUGGCUUUAGGCGAGAGCAGAGCGUGUGGCGUGUUCAGUUGUGUUAAGGGAAGAAGAAGGUAUCCUAUCAUGAGAAAAAGAAAGAAGAAGUAUGAAAAGCCAGAAGAAAUUAUGUUCUAAACCCAAGACCUAUUUUGUUUUGCUUUUUUAAAGUGUAUUAGUACACCAAAAGAGAAUUUUAAACAGUGUCUACCAUUCAGAAGUUCCAUCAGGAACCUGCUAAGCACAAAUGAAGAACCAGACUCUGUUAUAUUCCUCAUAUCCCUUGUUUUUCAUUUAGACUUUGACUGAGCCAGAGGCUGUACCUGUAGAGCAUCUCGGAAGAAUCUGAAUAAAAAAGCAAGGCCAAAAAGGA